UGUGCGCUCAUUGGUUGAUCCUGAAUCACAUGAUUCUCACAACCAUAUAAGUACAAGGGAUGAUCACCCUACUGCCUCUUGUUGGAUUCAUCCGCAACGCCGAGGAGCGCGUGGUGAGGUCGACCCAGGAAGUAACAGCUGGAGAGAGAUUCGAUGGGAAACAGGGUUUUCCCGAGGAGGGGAUUUAUCAGAAACCGACCCACCCACCCACCCUCCUUUAUAUUCGUGUACAGCUGGCAAGGGUUCCGUCUUCGCCGCGCGACUUCGGCGCUAUCCCCAUAACUUAAUCACAUAUGAAGGAUGAUCCAAUGAGUGCGCAGUGUGGAUAGGAAACUAUUUAUAC